ACGCUCGACACCUACGGAGGCAGCAGUCGGGAAUAUUGCGCAAUGGAGGAAACUCUGACGCAGUGACGCCGCGUAUAGGAAGAAGGUUUUCGGAUUGUAAACUAUUGUCGUUAGGGAAGAAAAAAGACAGUACCUAAGGAGGAAGCUCCGGCUAACUACGUGCCAGCAGCCGCGGUAAUCUGAGCGGGCUGGCAAGGC
rnacentral:rRNA from 1 species